CUGACAGGACAGGCCCCACCCAGAGAAGCCUCUGCCGUGCUGGUCAGUGCUCUCAGGUCUGUCGUGGACUGAAGAACAGAUGGCAGAGCUGGAAGCCCUGCAUCACACACUGGCUGAUCCACUGCAGUCCUAACACAGAAGCUUAUCAGCUGCUCGAACUGAACAUAUAUCCAGGGAAGAGCAGCUGUCCUUCACCAGGCCUUACCAGCAUGCUGCUUCUGUCUUGGGGCCAACUAUGGACUAAAUCCUCUAAAAACUGUCAAAUGAGCAUCUCCUCCUUGCUGUCAUCCACUGGUGUUAACUCAUGGAUUCCUGGAAGAAUCACAUACUCUGUCCUCCAGUGAUUAAUGGGAAACAGGAUUGUUUACACUGAGGAAAGCAAGUUCUUACUUAUUAGUGGCUUCAAAUGCCAAGAACCGAACUCAUUCCUGUCUCUGAAGUAAACUUACGUCACCCACAUUUGAAGAUAUGGGCUCUCCUUGUAGAAGUACUGAAUGAGCCCUUAUCUAUACAAUCACUUGACGGCAGCCUUUUGAAGAUUCAGCAAAGGCAGUUAUAUGGAGCCACAAGAUAAAAGCAAUACCAAAGGUCAACAAACCAAGCCUGGGACUUUGUUCCUUUCUCCUAGCAGUAACGUAAAAACAUCCCAUCAUCACUCAGUCCACGUUUGAUCGAUCUAGGGUAAUUAAACCAUUACACAGCAGCUCCAUGAGUUGGUUCUCUGAUCCCUGGUCUCAAGUUCACCGUGAUAACGUAUUUGAAUCCCUACGUGACCAUAAACAUCAAGAUUUCUAUCCCAAGGCUAAGCUAAGAGGUUUUCACAUUGAGUCCACUAAGCAUGUGUGUCACUGCCUCUGACACACAGUAGAAGACACCGAAGUUAUAAAAGUUCAAAC